rnacentral:lncRNA from 1 species
ACGGACUCCGAAAUCAAACAACCAAACCUAGAAGAAAAUUCCUAAAGAAUACAGUCCUCUGAAAUUUCCAUAAAAUCAUUUGAAUGACAGAAGCAAAUUCGUUUAAAACAAGGUAAAGAGUGCGAGGGUGCUAUUACUUAAUCACUUUACAUACACACAUCACACCAAAACGCCUGGCUUCUCUGGCCUGCUGCGUGGUUUUGCCUACUGACAGAACACUGACUACGGCGAUGAACAUACCGCCUUUCACUGCCUGUCUUG